rnacentral:tRNA from 1 species
GCAUCGAUGGUUCAGUGGUAAAAUGCUCGCCUGCCACGCGGGCGGCCCUGGUUCGAUUCCCGGCCGAUGCA